UCAUUCCUUCCAUGAUUCAGUUUAAAAAUAUGAAAGUAAAAUGUCAUUUGUGCACGAUUUACUCAAGAAAAUUAUUUUAGCAGGCCAAGAAUAUGCAAUCUCACAAGGUCUACAAGACCAUGUAAAUGUGUUGAUUCGACGGUGAAAGGCUUGCAAAGUGGUGGACAAAUGAUGCCAUGAUAAUACUGUUAUGUAUUAAGAAGUGGCGGCACGUUGCCUUUAGUUCAUCAGGUGGAGGAAAGAUCCCGUUGAACAGAGAGGAAACUCAUAAACCACUUGACAUAGUUUGUGUACUGCCCGCAACUCUACAAGAGGGAGAAGCUGCACGAACGUAGCAAGGCAACCAGUACGGCGCGGCUACGGGGGAAGCUGGGUGGCGCAAUGGUGUCGUUGAUCGCGGCUGUGUCCGGGGGAGAGCCGAGGCAUGGCAUGCAGCUGCUUGCGGCAGGGUCGUACGCCUGCCUUGGUAGUUGGCUUGCAAGCAUGGGUGGGGCGUGGCGGCACACUUUGGCAAAGUCAUGAAGAAUUUUCUUACUGGUCCUCUAGUUAUUCUCUGCACUGAAGAAUCAUCUGCAUCUGUUGCAGGUCAAUUCUGUUAUUUUCUACAGCAAUGCCGCUUUACAUUGAUGGUUCAUGUGUUCAA